UUGCUUUGGAAGCAAAUAUACUAAAAUUGGAACAAUACAGAGAAGAUUAUUAUGGCUCCUGCAUAAGAAUGACAUGAAAGUGCCGGGCACGGUGGCUCACACCU